GGUCCCAUGGCUUAGGUGGCAAAGCGCCUGCCUAGUAAGCAGGAGAUCAUGAGUUCCAUUCUAAUUGGGACCU
rnacentral:tRNA from 1 species